CAGUAGCCGCGGUAAUACAGAGGGUGCGAGCGUUAAUCGGAUUUACUGGGCGUAAAGCGUGCGUAGGCGGCUUCUUAAGUCGGAUGUGAAAUCCCUGAGCUUAACUUAGGAAUUGCAUUCGAUACUGGGAAGCUAGAGUAUGGGAGAGGAUGGUAGAAUUCCAGGUGUAGCGGUGAAAUGCGUAGAGAUCUGGAGGAAUACCGAUGGCGAAGGCAGCCAUCUGGCCUAACACUGACGCUGAGGUACGAAAGCAUGGGGAGCAAACAGGAUUAGAUACCCCGGUAGUCCCUGUCUCUUAUAA
rnacentral:rRNA from 1 species